UUGCCUAGAUCGCACAACCUUCUUCUUCCUCCACUGCCGUCCCAUUCCCAGGACAUUACCAUCAGAAGCUCACACAAGCCGUUUAACACUAUAACCGACCCGCUUGUUUGUCGUGCCAGCCGCCGCCAAGCAGAAAUUCUAUUUGAAAAGUAAUCGACAUCACAGGAUAGUAUGAAAGAUUUAUUGCUCAUGUGAAAGAUAUUUACCAGUUAUAUGUCGAGAAUGCUGACCUUAUGGAUGAAGGUGAUGAUGACAUUGAGUUUGACGAAGGAAAAACAGUGUGUAACAAUUAUCGACAAGGUUUAAUACAGAAAGAGCCUUCGACAACAAGUUCUGAAAAGGAAGUCAUAGCAUUGAAGAAGAGAGUCAAAUAUCUCGAAUGUGUAGUGUGGAAUUUGCAUGCUCAUAUUGAUCGGUUGGUUAGAUCCACUGGGAAGAUUGCUAUGUAAUGGUAUCUAACUUAAUCAUUUGUAACUUCUUGUACAUGUGUUUAAUGUGUUAAGAAUUGAUUAAGUCA